ensembl:lncRNA
CCCCAUUGUCCCCAGUGUUCCCUAUGACCUCAUUGUCCUCAUUGACCCCAAUGUCCCCAUUGUCCCCAAUGUCACAAUGGAACAUGGGGACCCCAGUGGGACAUGGAGGAACCCAAUGGGACAUGGAGGAACCCAAUGGGACAUGGGAACCCCAGUGAUACAUGGGAACCCCAGUGAUACAUGGGGACCCCAAUGGGACAUGGAGGAACCCAAUGGGACAUGGGAACCCCAGUGAUACAUGGGGACCCCAAUGGGACAUGGAGGAACCCAAUGGGACAUGGGAACCCCAGUGAUACAUGGGGAACCCAAUGGGACAUGGGAACCCAAUGGGACAUGAAGGAACUCAUGUGACAAAAGCCCGCUGGCAGGGCGUCGCUUUGGGUCGGAUGUGAGCAUCCUUCCUGCUGGCUGGAAGGACGAGAGGAAGAAAUUCCAGCUGUGCAGUCGGGGUUGCUGGGAGGCGUCCUGCUCACUUUGGGCAGCCUGCCAUGGCCGUCCUGCUUGGGUCGCACCUUCAGGAUUUUAUGAAUCCUCCUUUGUUUCUCGUCCCAAAGCUCGCUUCCUCAGCUGUUUCCUGUGAUAAGACUCUGACUUACUGAGUGAUGGGUGCUACCGCGUGACAACUGACAUCACUUUGGGGACAUUUGAAAGCAUCUUCCUUCUGGAAUAGAGCGCUCAGGAACGUUUGUUGGAGAUGUGGCCUCCAGCUUGGGAUGGGAAAAUUGGGGAGAAACGGGGUGCAGGUGGGCAUCCCUGCUCCUCUUAUCUGCUGCCACGGCCCAGAAGAUGGGAACCAAGGAGUUUCUGCUGAGAUCCCAGAGCCAGGAGCUGCCACUCCGAGAGCUGACUCGACCGCUUUGGACUUAUCAGUGUUGGUUCUGCCAUUGAGAAGGGCUUCAACCUCAACAGAACAGCACCUGAGGACCGAUCGCUACUGAGGAUCAAUGCCUGAACUACGAAUCGUGCUGGAGCCAUGGUGGUUCUGUCACGGUGGUUCCAUCACGGUGGUUCCGUCACGGUGGUUCCCAUCCUGGUGGUUCCAUCAUGCUGGUUCCAUCAUGUUUUUUCCAUCACAGUGGUUCCAUCAUGGUGGUUCCAUCAUGGUUUUUCCCAUCCUGGUGGUUCCAUCAUGCUGGUUCCAUCGUAGUGGUUCCAUCACGGUUCUGCCCAUCCUGGUAGUUCCAUCGUGGUGGUUCCAUCACGGUGGUUCCAUCCUGGUGGUUCCCGGGUGUUCCAUCCUGGUGGUUCCAUCAUGGUUCUGCCAAUCCUGGUGGUCCCAUCACGGUGGUUCCAUCAUGGUGGUUUCAUCAUGGUUUUUCCAUCUCAUGGUUCCAUCACGGUGGUUCCAUCAUGGUGGUUCCAUCACGGUGGUUCCCAUCCUGGUGGUUCCAUCAUGGUGGUCCAUCAUGGUGGUUCCAUCACGGUGGUUCCAUCAUGAUUUUUCCAUCUCAUGGUACCAUCAUAGUGGUUCCAUCAUGGUGGUUCCAUUACAGUGGUCCCAUCAAAGUGGUUCCAUCACAGUGGUUCCCAUCAUGGUGGUUCCAUCCUGGUGGUUCCAUCCUGGUGGUCCCAUCAUUUUGUUGUCCAUCCUGGUGGUUCCUUCAUGGUUUUUCCAUCUCAUGGUUCCAUCUCAUGGUUCCAUCCUGGUGGUUCCAUCGUGGUGGUUCCAUCCUGGUGGUUCCCAUCAUUUUGUUGACCAUCCUGGUGGUUCCAUCAUGGUUUUUCCAUCUCAUGGUUCCAUCUCAUGGUUCCAUCCUGGUGGUUCCAUCGUGGUGGUUCCAUCCUGGUGGUUCCCAUCAUUUUGUUGACCAUCCAGGUGGUUCCAUCACAGUUCCGCCCCUCCUGCUGCUUCCCAUCCCCCUCUUUCUUCCUACCAAAACUCCCCGCUUCCAUCUCCUAUCUUUCUGCCUCCCCCCUCCUUCCCCACCAUCGCCCGAAAUCCUAAUUACCCCCAUCCUCCCCGCCUGCCUAAUGAGGAUUUAUGGCGACCUCCUCAGCCCCACACCCAAACGAGCUCUCGUGUCUUUUUAAGGGGGGCGGGGCAGAUUUUGGGGUCAUUUCCCCUUCAAUAGGAGAUCUUUGGGGUCACAAAACCCUUCUUUGGGUCAAAAAACCCCGAUUUUAUUAUGGGAGGGGUUGACAUUUUGUGGCCGUUUUCCCUUUUUCUUGGGGUUGGGGGCACAACUCGCCCUUUGGGUCCACCUCUCCCCAAAAUGGG